rnacentral:rRNA from 1 species
GAUGAACGCUGGCGGCGUGCCUAAUACAUGCAAGUCGAGCGAACAGACGAGGAGCUUGCUCCUCUGACGUUAGCGGCGGACGGGUGAGUAACACGUGGAUAACCUACCUAUAAGACUGGGAUAAUUUCGGGAAACCGGAGCUAAUACCGGAUAAUAUAUUGAACCGCAUGGUUCGAUAGUGAAAGACGGUUUUGCGGUCACUUAUAGAUGGAUCCGCGCCGCAUUAGCUAGUUGUUACGGUAACGGCUUACCAAGGCAACGAUGCGUAGCCGACCUGAGAGGGUGAUCGGCCACACUGGAACUUAGACACGGUCCAUACGCCUACGGGAGGCACCAGUAGCGAAUCGUCCGCAAAGGGCGAAAGCCUGACGGAGCAGCGCGGAGUGAGUGAUGAAGGUCUUCGGAUCGUAAAACUCUGUUAUUAGGGAAGAACAAAUGUGUAAGUAACUAUGCACGGCUUGACGGUACCUAAUCAGAAAGCCACGGCUAACUACGUG